CGUAGGUGGCGAGCGUUGUCCGGAAUUACUGGGUGUAAAGGGCGUGUAGGCGGGAUUGUAAGUCAGAUGUGAAAUUCCACGGCUUAACUGUGGGGCUGCAUCUGAAACUACAAUUCUUGAGUGCUGGAGAGGAAAGCGGAAUUCCUAGUGUAGCGGUGAAAUGCGUAGAUAUUAGGAGGAACACCAGUGGCGAAGGCGGCUUUCUGGACAGUAACUGACGCUGAGGCGCGAAAGCGUGGGGAGCAAACAGGAUUAGAUACCCUGGUAGUCCACGCUGUAAACGAUGGAUACUAGGUGUAGGAGGUAUCGACCCCUUCUGUGCCGCAGUUAACACAAUAAGUAUCCCACCUGGGGAGUACGGCCGCAAGGUUG
rnacentral:rRNA from 1 species